GCAAAUCCAUUGAUACAGGUUUCAAAGUGGUCAGACUUACCGUUCAACGCUGCUUGCAGCUUUAAUUUAGAAUUUGGAUUAAUCAGUGAUUACAUACACAGUCUGCCCUAAUUCUUCUGUUAGAAAGAAUGCAUAGAUGGAUAGAUGCAUUUAGGAUGCAUAUAACUGUGUGGUGCCACACAGUUAAAUGCAUCCUAUCAAAGUAUGACAAGAUGAUAUCAGUACAAACAACUGUAAACAAGAAAUAAAAAAUCCAAGACACUUUGAGUCCUGAGUGUCUUUAAUACAUUUUAAUGUGAAUGAUUAGAAGAGAUGGUUAAUUUUUGUACAGUACACAUAUGAAACAUGUACAGUGGCUUAUACAGGUCCCAUAAAUUGAAUUCUUCAUCAUAAAUCAUUGUGGUAUUGUUUUGUUGGAUUUGUAUUCAUCACUGAUGGUGUUGGCAACACGGUCUAAUUCUGUAAGUAAAACAAAAAAAAAACAAAACGCAACAAUUCAUGAAAUAAAGUUAAUCUUACUUGUGUAUUGUGCCCCCUUUCUGCCACUGUUAAAAACCUAUUAAAAUGUUGAAUAUCUUAAGUAAGUGGAGGGAGUUAUAAAAACCCACUAACUCAAAGAAAUAAUGUGUUGAAUGAUGUUUUUUCUGCUUUAAAAUCAAAUAAAGGAUGUGUAUUGUUAUUAAUCAUGGGUGGUAAUUAAUUGCAAUACAUUUGCAGUUAGUACACAAAUAAUUGAUUGUUACUUGGAAUUCUCACUUAAUUAGCUCAGUAAAACAUUAUGGCAACCUGAAACUGUCUUGUAAAGGAAAUGAAGUUCUCAAUUUACAUUCUAAUGUUUCAGUUUGAGGCGAGUCCCCUGAACACAACACAAAAAACAUGGCUACCUUCACAAUAUGAAAACCACAUCUACGUCUUCAAUUUUCAGUAGUCAUAGUGAGGUUGUUGGACUGCUUUCAGAAUUCCUUGUAUCACGUAAAAUGUCAUCACAUUGUUUAGGUGUUAUCAGACAUGAGUUGUAUAUGAAUACAACUCCAUGUAAAUUACCAGAAGAUUUAAAGUAUUUCAAAUGUAUAACAAUAGGUGAUAAGAUGCUAAGAAACUUGAAUUUGAACAAUGUGUUAGUUUCACAACCUGUCCAGUGUGACCCGGAGAGUCUAGUACGUUGAAUGAGGAGAGAGGCAGUUACCCUGAUCCCAUUUCACUGCAGAGAUGCAACCAGCUGAGUGUCUUGGUGCAGGUCGGUAAGGUUAGGACAUUUAUCAAUGUUUCAAUGUACAGGGGACAAAUCCCCAUCAAAACUGUAUGAUAGUAUCACUACUGUAUGUAUGAUGUACACAUAUAUACUGAAUUGUUUCAACUUUCACUGAGUCACAAAAAUCCAACAUGCUAUACAGUACAAUGUAUCACUGAAAACAUUGUGACCUUCCACUAUUGUGAGUUUAAACAAUGUUUGACUGGUUUAAAGUUUUACAUAAAUGUGGGAAGCAUUAGGCCAGUUGAAUUAUACUUAGCCUGUUCUUGUUGAUCCUCUGUAGAGCAGGGGUGAUGAGAAAGAAUUCAUUAGAAAAUGAGGGAUGUUUGCAACACUUGAGGCCUGCUAUAUGAUCUAUGACAUUAAAUAAUGUGUGAUGUCUGUUAAAUUUGUUCUCUAAAAUGCUACUCAUUCUCCAUUAGGAAGGCUUUGAAAUUGCAAUAAUUCUCUUGACAGUAUAUACAGUGCUGCUUGAUAGUUUGUGAACCUUUUAGAAUUUUCCCUAUUUCUGCAUAAACAUGAGCUAAAGCAUGAUCACAUUUCCAUGCAAGUCCUAAAGCUAGAUAAAGGGACAUCAAUUAAACAAAUGAGAAAAAACCUUACACUUGUUCUUUUAUUUAUUGAGGAAUAUGAUCCAAUGUUACAUAUUUGCGCGUGAGUUGGGUGUUUGCUGCAUUUACAUUGAAAACCCCUGGGCUGGUUCCGCCACCUCUGCUUCCUUUUACAUAAUUUUAUCUCCAAAGUGUGUAAAAGAAGUAUGAAUUACAUUAAUUAUUUAGGCUAUUUCUUUUUUUAUUUAGUUUAGCUGUCCUUAAAUUGACCUCUGCAGCCAACACGCUUCAAAACGUGUAACUUUUACUUUGAAUGUGAUCUGUCUCUGUUUCGAGCUCCUGUUUCAAUUUUUUUUCUACAAGUUGAAUAAUGGAACCAGCGGACGCUCCGGCGCGCUGAAUUGCAUUGCACGUCAUAAGACAAUGAACUUAGGAAAUACCCUGAAUACAAAGUGAAAAACUGCAGAUGAAUUAUACUUCAUGCACAGACCAUAAAUGCUUAAAGGUCCAGUGUGUAAUAUGUGUGGUAUUUAGCAGCCUCUAACGGUGAGGUUCUAGAUUGAAGCACUCCACUGCUCACCCCUAUCCUUCCUAAGACUUUGGAGAGGUUCCAGAAGCUACGGUGAUCUUCAUAGACAAGAAGCUAUUUGCUGAAGAUGUCAUCGUCCACGACAGCUCCGAGCAUUUCUAACAAGUCAAGCAAUGAGAGUCAAGUACUGGAGGUUAGAGGGAGAGGAAGAGGGUGAGGAAGAGGGCAAGUUAGCGGUUCUGCUGCAGGCAGGGCCAGACGAGGGAGGAGAGCAAACACCGGCACCGCAGAAGCAGGGGAAGAGGCUGGAAACCCUCCAAAGGGACCGAAGCAACUGAGAGAUGACCUUGGAGGAGCACAGGCAGCUCACUAGCGAACUGCUUCAGAGGCAGCCAGGGCUCGUUUUUGAUGCCUUGAUGAUGCAUCAGUGCAGGCAUGGUGUCCCACCGUUUGCUGGAGUGGGACCAGGGGGACCAUGGUGUACUUGUAGUAACUGUACAGACAUGCCUACAGCCAGGGAGAGGAAAUGCUGUGGCCAGAACCCUGCAGAUUGUGUGAGCCUAAUACUGCACUUCACAGUUGCUGUGUUUGGAGGAUCAAGUUCCCUGGUCCUCCAAAGACAUCACACUGGUUUCACACCUGGCCUCUGAGUUUCCCUCCAGGUCCUCAUCAAAUAUUUAUUUG